GUUCUUAUAGUUGAGGCACCAACGAUGGUUUUUCAGGCCAUAAACCUUGGGUUAACCCCAAGUGAGAACUU
rnacentral:tRNA from 1 species